UUAAAGGGCUGCAGUAUAUUGACUGUACAAAGGUAGCAUAAUCAUUAGUCAUUUAAUUGAUGACUUGUAUGAAGGAUUGGAUGAAAUAUAAACUGUCUCUUAAUUAUAUUUAGAAUUUAAUUUUUUAAUUAAAAAGUUAAAAUAAAUUAGAAAGACGAGAAGACCCUAUAGAGUUUUAUAGGUAAAAUUAAUUGAGAUUAUUUGUAAAGAUUAAAAUUAAGAUUAAUUUAUUUAUUUUGUUGGGGUGACAGAAAAAUAUGAAAAACUUUUUAUAUGUUUAAAACAUUAAUAAGUGGUUAAAUGAUCCAGUAUUAUUGAUUAUAAGAAAAAAUUACCUUAGGGAUAACAGCGUAAUUUUUUUUUUUAGUUCAUAUAAAAAAAAAAGUUUGCGACCUCGAUGUUGGAUUAAGAUAAAAUUUAAAUGUAGAAG
rnacentral:rRNA from 1 species